CGCCUAUUACAUGCAAGUCGAACGAGAAGGUGUAGCAAUACACUUGUACAGUGGCGAACGGGUGAGGAAUGCAUGGGUAACCUACCCUCGAGUGGGGAAUAACCAGCCGAAAGGUUGGCUAAUACCGCGUACGCUUCCGGGUCUCCGGAUCCGGAAGGAAAGUCACACCGUGGGUGUGACGCUCAAGGAUGGGCUCAUGUCCUAUCAGCUUGUUGGUGAGGUAACGGCUCACCAAGGCAACGACGGGUAGCUGGUCUGAGAGGACGAUCAUCCACACUGGCACUGCGACACGGGCCAGACUCCUACGGGAGGCAGCAGUAAGGAAUAUUGCGCAAUGGGCGAAAGCCUUCGCAGCGACGCCGCGUGGGGGAUGAAGGUNNNNGGCCUACCCC
rnacentral:rRNA from 1 species